UCACUUGGGAGCCAGCAAGAGAAAAAUGAGUAGUAUUGAUCUCAUUUCAAUUGAAACGGGCCAGUAGGGCUGUGCCAGCUGUGGAUGGCUUCCUGGGGCCUGACACUCUGAGGCUCUGUGGUCUGCAGCCAGCGUCCAGCCUGAGGCUUCGGCCAAGAGAGAUCCAGAGACGAACAGGAUACAGACUCAAGGUGAAGAUAAUCUGACUUAUGGAAGUGCCCACAGGAGCUGGGAGCAGCCCAAAGAAGGGAGAGAAGAUGUGUUUGUGUGAAUUUCAAUCAGCAGUGAGUCCAGAAGCAGGAAAAGCUGCUUCGCCUGCCGUAAGGUCUGCAUGAAGGUGCCUUUCAAUCUGUGCAGCAGAAAAUUCUUGGGCUAAAUCUGCAGUCCCUGGACCUGCUGGUCCCAAGGUUCAGAACCCCUCUUGCAGGCCUGCUGGCUGGCCCAGAGCAAAUGGGAAGAGUGGUUUGGCUCAUGUUUUGCAUUAGCACAGUUGAUUUUUCCAGUGCAGCCCAACAUUCUGUGAUAAACCUGAGUCGCUAAGAAAGCUUUAUGUAACUCACACCCAGCCGAGCUUCUCAGAGACUCAAACGUUGUUUUCAGAGUUACCCAUAGAACUGGCAGCACAUCAAAACCUCUGUUUCAUAACAGACUAGAAAUAGGAUUUUCUAAUGACAUGCCGAGCACUGGACUUAUCGUGUGGGAUCAGGACUUUUAUGAAUUGUUAAUGGUUAGCUAAACAAAGACCCCCCCAGGAUGCCCAACCUGCUCCUGGAGGGUCAGGAUGGAAAGGGAAGUCUGAAAGCCACUUUCUGCAUCCAUGAUCUGCUCGUUAGUGACCUAAGGCCCUUUUCAAACAAUUUCCUAAAUAAUCUCUAACAUA